UCUCCGUUAGUAUAUCGGUUAGUACACGCGCCUGUCAUGAAUCAGAUUGUCUGCGCGCGCGAAAGCGGGGUUCGACUCCCCGACGGAGAG